UGUAAUAACCUAAUCACUUAGGCCAGGAAAAAACACACAAUCACGCCUGUAUCCCCGAGGGAGUUCGCAGAAGUGCAACCAGGGCACCUACUUUUCGCCUAUCCAUCCCAUGAUAUGAUAAGGGGCGAGCCUAUCGCCAAAUUGGGCUCAAAAUUCAGACUGACUGAUACUAAACAGAAAAACGCGAACCGUGCCGCGAGCACGACUGGACAGCUAAACGUCACCGAGACAGAAAAAAAAUCUUAAACAUAAAGUGCAUCACAAUUGCAAUGUCAGAUGGCUAUAUUACCUUCGCGGGCGUGCCCAGCAACCUGCAUACAUGAAUGUCAUAUGAAGAUUAUAUAAUAUGCAUUAUUCAAGGUCUUAUAUGUGAGGUAAAACCUGGAUUCUAAGUGAUAGUUAUGUUUUAUAAGCAGAUAUAUGUAUCCAGAGUUCUAUAACUUACUAUGUUGUUUAACGUUUCUGUAUAUCUAGUUUAUUGCAUGGACGCUAUAUCUUAAAAGCGACAUAUUUUGCUCGUUCAACUUUACUUAUUUGUGCAAGUCACAAUAGGUAUCAAGAACAAACAAAACAGGCUUCAAAAAUGAUAAAAGAUACAAGACUGCUAUAUUAUGUAAUACCUAUCAAAAUAAAGCCUUAUUAAAUUAUCGGG